rnacentral:rRNA from 1 species
UACGGGGGGAGCAAGCGUUGUUCGGAUUUACUGGGCGUAAAGGGCGCGUAGGCGGCCAGCACAAGUCAGUUGUGAAAUCUCCGAGCUUAACUCGGAAAGGUCAACUGAUACUGUGCGGCUAGAGUGCGGAAGGGGCAACUGGAAUUCUUGGUGUAGCGGUGAAAUGCGUAGAUAUCGUAAGGAAGACCAGUGGCGAAGGCGAAUCUCUGGACAGUUACUGACGCUGAGGCACGAAGGCCAGGGGAGCAAACGGG